AGAGUUUGAUCCUGGCUCAGAACGAACGCUGGCGGCGUGCUUAAUACAUGCAAGUCGAACGAGAAAGCAUUCUUCGGAGUGUUAUUAGAGUGGCGAACGGGUGAGUAACACGUAAGCAACCUGCCCCUAAAUCUGGAAUAACCUUACUAACGUGGGGCUAAUACCGGAUGUGAUUUUUAAAUCUCAUGGUUUUUUAAUUAAAGGUGACCUCUUCUUGAAAGUUACUGUUUAGGGAUGGGCUUGCGGACCAUUAGUUAGUUGGUGAGGUAAUGGCUCACCAAGACAUCGAUGGUUAGCCGACCUGAGAGGGUGAUCGGCCACAUUGGGACUGAGAUACGGCCCAGACUCCUACGGGAGGCAGCAGUAGGGAAUUUUGCGCAAUGGACGAAAGUCUGACGCAGCAACGCCGCGUGAGCGAUGAAGGCCUUCGGGUUGUAAAGCUCUGUUGAGCAGGAAGAAAAGUGAUUGAGAUAAUACCUCAUUUAUAUGACGGUACUACUCGAGGAAGCCCCGGCUAACUACGUGCCAGCAGCCGCGGUAAUACGUAGGGGGCAAGCGUUGUUCGGAAUCACUGGGCGUAAAGGGAGCGCAGGCGGAAGGGUAAGUUAGGAGUGAAAUACACGGGCUCAACCCGUGGCCCGCUUCUAAUACUGCUUUUCUUGAGUAUUGGAGAGGAUGAUGGAAUUCCAGGUGUAGCGGUGGAAUGCGUAGAUAUCUGGAAGAACACCGGUUGCGAAGGCGGUCAUCUGGCCAAAUACUGACGCUGAGGCUCGAAAGCUAGGGGAGCAAACAGGAUUAGAUACCCUGGUAGUCCUAGCCGUAAACGAUGGACACUAGUUGCUGGAGGAGUCAAUCCCUUCAGUGACGUAGCUAACGCGUUAAGUGUCCCGCCUGGGGAGUACGCUCGCAAGGGUGAAACUCAAAGGAAUUGACGGGGGCCCGCACAAGCGGUGGAGCAUGUGCUUUAAUUCGAUGCAACGCGAAGAACCUUACCUGGAUUUGACAUGGGAAUGCAAGCCUUUAGAGAUAGAGGUCCUUCCUUCGGGAACAUUCUGCACAGGUGCUGCAUGGUUGUCGUCCUCGUGUCGUGAGAUGUUGGGUUAAGUCCCGCAACGAGCGCAACCCCUAUCUUUAGUUGCCAGCGAGUAAUGUCGGGAACUCUAGAGAGACUGCCUGGUAUAACCAGGAGGAAGGUGGGGAUGACGUCAAAUCAUCAUGGCCCUUACGUCCAGGGCUAGACACGUGCUACAAUGGCCGGUACAACGGGCUGCUAACUCGCGAGAGUACGCUAAUCCCUUAAAACCGGUCUCAGUUCGGAUUGGAGUCUGCAACUCGACUCCAUGAAGGUGGAAUCGCUAGUAAUCGCGGAUCAGCAUGCCGCGGUGAAUACGUUCCCGGGCCUUGUACACACCGCCCGUCAAGCCAUGAAAGACGGUAGUACCCGAAGUCGCUCCUCUAACCGUAAGGAAGAAUGCGCCU
rnacentral:rRNA from 1 species